CCUACUGAGCCCUCCUCCUCCCCUGAUGUAGACUGUGGUCUGUGUUGGAUGUUGCUGUUCAGUCUGUGUCCUGUGUCUGCUCUCCUCUCCUCUCUCCUCUCCUCCACCUGUGUCUACUCCUUCUGCAGAACAACAGCUCCAACCGACUCUCAGAUCAAGACGACCAUCAGGGGAAGUGAGAGCAGAUUACAGGAGGAAGGAGACCUGUUUUACGCCUCGUUGGAUAUCCGAGGACCGAGGACACCAAAGAAGAAGACAGUCCAGAACUCUGACUUCAGUACCUACUCAGCCAUCAAUACCAGCAGAGUGUGAGACCUAUACCAGCCAUCAAAACCAGCAGAUUGAGACCUAUACCAGCCAUCAUUACCAGCAGUGUGAGACCUAUACCAGC